rnacentral:rRNA from 1 species
AUUGAACGCUGGCGGCAUGCCUUACACAUGCAAGUCGAACGGCAGCGGACCUUCGGGUGCCGGCGAGUGGCGAACGGGUGAGUAAUAUAUCGGAACGUACCUUUCAGUGGGGGAUAACGCAGCGGAAGUUACGCUAAUACCGCAUAUUCUGUGAGCAGGAAAGCAGGGGAUCGCAAGACCUUGCGCUGAUUGAGCGGCCGAUAUCAGAUUAGCUAGUUGGUGAGGUAAAGGCUCACCAAGGCGACGAUCUGUAGCGGGGUCUGAGAGGAUGAUCCGCCACACUGGAACUGAGACACGGUCCAGACUCCUACGGGAGGCAGCAGUGGGGAAUUUUGGACAAUGGGCGCAAGCCUGAUCCAGCCAUGCCGCGUGAGUGAAGAAGGCCUUCGGGUUGUAAAGCUCUUUCGGCCGGGAAGAAAUCGCACAGGUUAAUACCCUGUGUGGAUGACGGUACCGGAAUAAGAAGCACCGGCUAACUACGUG